UUGCUUUAAUUUAAUCAUAGACUCAGACAGACGACACGAUUCAUUUUCAGAGUUUGAACGGUUGGCUCCCGGCGGGCGCUGGCCAGAGGACGCCCAUGGACGGUCCUCCGGCGGUCGUGAGACGGACCCGCCGAAGCAACAGAGGUUCGAUAAACAAAGGGUUGGGAGGUCGGGCCCGGAAGACCCUAACUCGGUAAUGAUCCUUCCGCAGGUUCACCUACGGAAA
rnacentral:misc_RNA from 1 species